UUGAGUGGCGAAUGGGUGCGUAACACGUGGGAAUUUAUCCGGAAGUGGGGGAUAGCUUGCCGAAAGGCAAAUUAAUACCGCAUAUGCCCGUAAGGGCAAAGUGGGGGACCGCAAGGCCUCACGCUAUCGGAGGAGCCCGCGCCCUAUCAGCUAGUUGGUGAGGUAAUGGCUCACCAAGGCUUAGACGGGUAGCUGGUCUGAGAGGACGACCAGCCACACUGGAACUGAGACACGGUCCAGACACCUACGGGUGGCAGCAGUCGAGGAUUUUUCUCAAUGGGGGCAACCCUGAAGGAGCGACGCCGCGUGGAGGAUGAAGGGCUUCGGCUCGUAAACUCCUGUCACCGACGAACAAGGCAUCCGGAUUAAUAAAUCGGAUGCUUGAUGGUAGUCGGAGAGGAAGGGGCGGCUAACUCUGUGCCAGCAGCCGCGGUGAUACAGAGGCCCCAAGCGUUGUUCGGAUUUACUGGGCGUAAAGGGUGUGUAGGGGGUCGUGUAAGUUUGACGUGAAAUCC
rnacentral:rRNA from 1 species